GGGCCCGUAGCUCAGCCUGGUAGAGCGGCGGGCUUUUAACCCGUAGGUCCCGGGUUCAAAUCCCGGCGGGCCCGC
rnacentral:tRNA from 1 species